rnacentral:ribozyme from 1 species
UCAAGCUCAAGCCUUCUACUGUGGCUGUUUGCGUUCCCCGGGCCAUGCCAGCAGUC